ensembl:lncRNA
GAAGAGUGAAUGAGAUGAAUGUGUAGCUGGCAACCAAUGCUUGUUUUGAUGUCAGGACUUGUAUGACCUGUGCAUUUGAUGUCUCUCAUAGUCAGAGCUGUGUGGUACUCAGUAAGAAUGUGGUAUAGACACAGGCACAGGGUCACAGAAGCUGAGAAGCUGUUGUGGGUGUUAGGAGUUAGCCCUCAGGUGACCCUAGUCCUCCAAAGAUUUAAGCAGGUUGGAACAUCACAUUUUUAUUUCCUUUUUCAUGUGUAUGGGGGUUUGUCAUGUGUAUGUCUGAGGACCACAUGCAUGCAGUGUCCCUUGGAGGGCAGAGAGGGUGUUGGGUCCUCUGGAACCAGAGUUAGAGAUAAUUGUGUGUGCCAUGUGGGUGCUGGGACUUGAACCCAGGUCCUCUGCAAGAUUACCAUUGCACUUAACCACUGAGCCACCCUUCCAGCCCUGAAUGUUGCAUUUUGAAAACUUAGAUCGCCUGCUUUAGCAGUUAUUCUGGAACGCAUGGCUGUUUGGUUUCUUUCCAUUAAGGCCAAAACUUGACUUUGACAAUGUGGCAGCUACACAUUCAUUGGGGGGCCAGGUCAGGCCAGUGACCCUUCACUCCCAGCCUCUGUGGCCUCAGGUCUUUGGGUCUGACCUUGAGACAUAACAGGGCCCUGGACAGUGGUUGUGUCUUUGUCAUAGCAUAGCCCCAUCAAGGACUCUUUUUGGUCUUUGGGGAAUAGUAUCCAAUCUAAUCCCUUUGGAAAGUUUUUUUUUUUUUUUCCCCUUCCUUUUUUUUUUAGAAAGGGAAAAAGAUAAGAGUUAAUAUCCAAGGAUAAUUGUGUGUAACUUCAGGGCUCCCCUAAGGUUCAUAACCGUAGGAGGUGCAACAUACCCUUCAAACAAAGCCGGAGGUUCAGAGCUCUUGGUCAGCUUGUCUUUGUGGUUGGAACUGGGUGACUACUUGGUUAAUCAUGAGAAAGAACCUGGGGACCCCACGACUUUGGAUUGUUUUAGUUCCUUUAUCAGCCACUAUAGGAUCCGAUAAUCUCUCAUAAAUACUGUUUCUGUUGUCUGAAUGGCCCUGUGUGCUUUACCUGGUUUUGGGCAAGGCUGUGGGGUGGCCUGGAGGCCAAGGUCCUGGGGCCCCUGCUGUACUUGGCUUGCAGGAUUUGGUCACACUGGUUUGAAUUUACCCCUUCUAGACUGGGAGUUUUUUUGGGGUGCAGAACUGGGUCACCUCUCGGCUCUGUGCCCCCAGCUGCUAGCACAGAGCUUGACGUUGAUUCCCGCUGUAUACAUGCUUAUAUAAGAAUCAGAUUCCCCCCUCCCCCCCCCUUUUUUUUAUAAGAUCUCUGGUUUCUUCCAUUUGGUUCUUGAUGUGAGGAGAAACCCAGGCCUCUGUGCUCCCAGGAUCAGCAUUUUCAGCCUUUGAGGGAGACUAGACCAGAGCAGUGGUCCCUUUCCCUUGCCUUGCAGUGUGGCCUUGCAGCAUGGCUUAAGUUGAGCCCUUGAAUGCAAAUACCAUCCCUUCCCCCAUCCCUUUUGAUAAGUGACAUUUUGUUAAAUCAGUUAUUCAAGGCCUUAUCUAUAUUUCUGUCUGUGCUGGCUUGGUCAAAAUAGGAAAGAGAGAAUAUUAGAUUUCUUUACCUGCCCCCCCCUCCUUCCCCUUUGAGCAACCCCGCCUAAGCUUUCUGAUAGGGGAGGGGCGUUGUGUCCUUGAAACAGCAAAUGCUUCCUGCAGAAAAAUGUGGAGGGCUUGGACUUACAGCGAAGGGUGCUUUUUAGCAGCUGUGAUUUUUCCAUUUUUCUCCCCCCACUUUCCUCUCUGUUUUGAUUAGUGGAACUCAUUGUGCUGUGGGCUCAGAGUUUGGGAGGGGCAAGCGAGGGAAGAGGUUUAUUGAAAAUAUAUGUCUACUUCGGCAAUGAUAAAGCAGCAAGCAUGUAAAAAUGCAACAGGGAAAUCUUUAUUGCGGCAAUGUAGGCAGGGCUUCUCUUUCUCAUUAGCAGAGCCCAGCCCACGUGGAGGAGGGGGCGGCUGAGCUGCCUUGAGAGUUGGGGUAUUCAAUAAUAGCAGAAACUCAAGGGGAUUCUCUCCACCUCCCCUUCGAACCCCUCCAGCUGCCUCCGCCUUUUCUUUUUCAGAUUGCUUUGUAACCUUUUGGAAGCUGCUGGUUGGGGUUUCAUUGCUUCCUUACUCACCCCUGCCACCCCAAAAUGCAGUGGGGAUCGUGUAAUUUUGAAGUUAAAGAGAAUUAAAAUUAAUACUCUCUUGGGAAGGAGAGGAGCAUUUUGGCGGUACCUUGUGAGUAAGAGGUUGGAUUUUGUCCCUUGCAUUCCAGAGAACAGGAGGACAGCCGGUCUAGGGGUUUAGGAAUUUGCAUAGUCCUUGAGAUGUCAGAAUAAGGGGGUUCAGGUCACUUUAAUACAGGAGUGCUCACUGAAUAUUGGGCCUUGUGCCGAUAGCACAGCCAUUUAUAUAUACCCUUACUGUUAUAAAAGGCUAAUGAGAUGCUCACCUUCUUCCCCUUGGGGAAACUGAGGCACAGCUCACUGCAGUAGCUUGUCUACAGACAAGCGCAUGUUAAGUUGUGGAGUUCCUUCCCAAGCCCUGGACUGGAGCCACUGGAUCCUGGGAGUCACUUGUUCUGAGCUGACCCAUAAGAUUCUAAGAAUUGAGUGGAAUAUCUGGAAAUACCCCUGGAGUUGUCUGCUGAGAGCUACAGAGAGCUGGCGAUGCGUAGGAAAGUCAUUCUGGAGAUUCAAGUGAGGGUCUCAGAUCGGUGUUAGAAAGAAGCUAAUCUGUGCUCUCUCCUAUCUCUGCUUGUUCAACUGUUUAUCCAAUUGUUACCGUGCACCGAUUGUACCCAUGGCUGGAACCAUCUGGAUGCAUCUGAGGAGCUCAGGGUGAAGUGGAGGAUUGUGGUGGGCACAGAAACACGCUACUAGUUACACCCGCCUGGAACGGAGUCGGUAGGAGAAAUUGUGUAGAGCAGCCAUGGACACCAUUGCAGACGUGGUGGCGAGUGGGGCUGUGUGGAGUCAGCGGGGGCUUGCUGCAUGGACAUGGAGAAGGCCAGGGCAGGUUACAUGGUGGCUGUGGGAGUCUGCAUCGACCUGACCUUGGGGAAUACCCUGUGCAACUUCAAGAUUUAUCUGUUCAUCUUAGUCUUUUCAUACCUCUCUAGCAAAAGCACCCUACGCCCACUAGCUCAAACACUUACUUCUCUUAGUUCCAGGGUAGGGAGGCCAAGAUCAAUGUGUAGGCAGAUUCCGUGUCUGGUAAUACCUACCUUGUGGUCAUGGAUAUCUGUCUUCUCUCUGGCUUCGUUCAUGGUGGAAUGGAGGCUAGGCAGCUUUUCCGAAGUUCUUUUGUAAAAAAAAAAAAAAGAGAUCUUAUUCUAAUGACCUGAUCCCCCUCUCUCCCACCAGAAGGCUCAACCUCCCAAUGCCAUCACAUUGAAGGCUAACAUGUCAACCUAUGAAUUUGGGGGACAUAAGCGUUCAUUCCAUCUUUACUUUCCAUUACCUGCAUUUUACUGCCCUGUGGCUGUGCUGUCUAACCUGGCAGCCCUAGCUCUGCAUGGCUAUUCGUGUCUAAAUCCAUUAAAAGUUGAAUAAAGUUAAAAAUCCAGUCCUCCAGGUCCACCAGCCACAGGUCAAGUGUGAUGGAUGGGCCUGGUGGCUAUCCUGUCAGACAGCAGAGGGACAGAACAUGGUCAUACUUGCACAGAGUGUUUGGCUGUGGUGGGACUUAAAAACUUCCACUGCCUGGAGGGCUUCUUUCCCUGUGUGCCUGUUUCAUGCUCACUUAUUCCAGACUCCCUCCCUGAAGGCCGGCGGGCUUCCUCUGCCUGUCUAGACCACUUCAUGGGUCCCUGUCUACUAUGGGCCUCUCUGCUUCGUAAGAACACAGGCUCUGUCUUAUCAUUGUGUUCCAGAACUCAACUUGGGUCCUGGUGCAAAAGAACUCUCAAUGCCAAGAGGCAUGGGGCCUGGAGAAGUGGUGUAGUAGUUAAGAGCAUCUACUGCUCUUGCAGAGGACCUGAGUUUGUUUCCUGGCACCCACACUGGAUGACAUCUGGGCAUAUACUGUCAGGUGUACACAUACACAAUAAAAUAAAGUAAAUCUUUUUUAAAAGGUGAGGAUUGGGCAAGGAGGCCCUGGGGCUCUGUUAGGACGUUGGUCUUAGCCUUGUAGACCAUAUGGGAGUUACCAAAGGAGUUAGGAGGGAGUGUGGGGGAGCCGAGUCAGAUGCAUGUGUUUAGAAAAUGCGCUCCUGAGAGGCCUGUUGUGAUGAGUGUGUGAGAUAGUGAGUGUACAGAGAGGACAGGGCUCUUUUCACUCACACUUUGUGUGCUUGUGGUGCCGGGGAUUGAACCCAGGGCCUUCUACACGCCAGAUGAGUGUCCCACCCGUAAGCUGUAUCUCCAGCCUGGCUCACAUUUUGGAGGUUCAAGCUCAUGACUGAUUGGCCCUGCCACUCUUUGGACCUAUGGUAAGAACACAUAGCAGGGUAGAUGUGGAACAAAGCCACUCACUUCAAGGCUGGAGGCAAAAGAGAACCCUGCCCUUCCCCUGCAUGUUCCCAGAGACUGCCAGGGUUUCUCUGUGCAACAGCUCUGGCUGUCCUGGAAUUCACUCCAUAGACCAGGCUGGCCUCGAACUCACAGAGGAGAUCCUUCUGCCUCUGCCUCCUAAGUGUUCGGACUAAAGGUGUGCCCCACCACCGCUCUGCACCAGGCCCCACCUCUUAAGAUACCCCUUUAAUCAGUGCCACUCUGGGGAGCAAGUCUUUAAUGACAGCCCCAACUGGAACUCUAGCAGGAGCUGAGCCUGCAGGCCAGUAGAUGGGCAAGAGCUCAGGCCUGUGGCCACAGUAGGGGAGUGGGCAUCUGAAGGUGGCCUGGCCUCUGCCACUCUUCUAAGAGGUACUGCUGACAGGGAACUCCUCUCCCUCUGUGUCUCUCACCUCCCACCCCCAGGCUCCGUGGGCGGGAGGCCUAUGGCUCCCUAGGGAGCCAUAGGCCUGUCCCCUAUGGCUCCUUCUAUGCUCAGUUCACCCCUGCUCCCCUGUAGGUGUGCCUCACAGACUGAACCCCAUGAUGGAGUGUGAGCAGCAGGGAAGGCAGUGUUGGGCAUCCAGCCAUCCCCUCUUCAAUCUUACUGGGUCCUUCCAGAGGACACUUUCAGGGACUUGAAUUUAAAAGCUUGUACACAAUGCUGAGAGGGAUUCAGAGUAAGAGACCCAUCUAGGAGGCUCUUGGAAGCAGUUAAGGGGAACCAGGAUGCCAGAACAUCGAGGUGGAAUUGGCACAAGAGGGUCCUUUACUUUUUCAGAAAGACAGGGGAGCAUGCUUGGCCAUAUCAACCUCACUUUGAGUGUUUGGGGACAGGGCUCAUUUGAGAAUGUAAGAGCCACUUGUGAGUUCACCAUCCAUGUUUGACCUCUGAGCAUUUCCAUGAGGGUGACAGCAUUGUUCUACCCAUUGCACAGAUGGGAAAAUGGGGACACAAAGGAGUUAAGAUUGCUCCAGAUCUCGUGGCUGGUAAACAGCAGGGCAGAGAUUCGAAUCCAGAAACCCAGACUUGGUGACUGUAAACGCAGGUUCUUUCCCCCUUCAUUACUGCACCUCCCACUAGCCUGUAAGUCAGAGUGGCCUCAGUUUUGUUCAACAAUAUAAAUACUGGAAUAUGGUAGGUGGGGCCACACUGGCCACAAGAGUAUUCUUGGGUACCCUGGUGCCUUAUUUUCCUUAUCCUCAGAUUUCCUGACUGACUCCUUCAUUACUUGUUUGUUUGGGAACAGGUUCUCCUGCAGUCCAGGCUGGCCUAGAACUUGCCCUGUGGAUAAAGAAAGACCUUGAACUUCUGGUCUCCCCCUGCACCUCCCCAGUGCUAGGAUUACGGACGUGUGCCACCACAGCCGUGCAUGUGGAAGUGGGGGUCAAUCCCAGGGCCUUGUGAAUGUUAGGCAAGCACUCCACCCCCCUUCUCCGCCCCUCCCCCCAGCUUCUGAAAGGGUUAUUUUGAGAAUAAGAUGAGAUAAAAGAUGCAAAAAUGCUUUGGGAAUUCUAAAGAACUUUUCUCCUCUGCAUAAAGAUUUUCUGCAGUCACAAGGCUCCAUGAGUGUGAACGCUCAGGGCUGGCCCUGGGCUGCAGGCACCAUGCAUUAACUUCUUGGAGGCCUUUGAAUCUGACCAUGCUCUUGGGUCUGUCCUGUUGGUCUGUAUCGAUUUGGGGAAUCUUUGUCUAGGUUGGAAGUGGGAAGACCUCCAGCAGGAACUUAAGGGCCUAUGUGACUGGGGAAAGUCACUACAUCUUUGUAAACUUCUGUUUCCCUGAAAUGGUCACAUCCUCUCUGCUGGGCUAGUGGACAGGUUAGCUGAUGAAAUCAGCAUUGUGCAAGCCAGACGGUGAAGUGGCCUUGAGAACUGAAAUUCUUGGAUAAUUCUGGAUUAAGCUCCAGGUCCAUCUUUCUCUUCUGCCCAGAAUGUUGUAAUUAAGAUUAAUUAUAUAAUGACUUUUUACUUCUUUUCAUGGUCAUCCUCCCCUUCUUCCACCAGAUUUCUUUGUGAAGCCAUGGCUGUCCUGGAAUCCUGGAACUUGCUGUGUAGACCAGGCUGGCCUCCAACUCAGAGAUCCACCUGCCACUGCCUCCAGAAUGCUGGGAUGAAAGACGUGCGUCAUCUCUGUCUUAUCUCUUUAUUGAUUAUUUUAAUUAAGAUACAAAGGCUGCUGGGGUGUUGGUAGAGGGAAUGCUUUUAAUCCCAGCACUCAGGAGGCAGAUGGAUUUCUGUGAGUUCGAGGCCAGCCUGGUCUACAGAGAGAGAGAGAGAGACAGAGACAGAGAGACAGAGACAGAGAGACAGAGACAGAGACAAACAGAGAGACACACAGAGAGAGGCAGAGAGAGACAGAGAGAUACACAGAGAGAGAGACAGAGACAGAGACAGACUGAGAGAGACAGAGAGACACACACACAGAGAGACAGACACACACACACACACACCACACACACACACACACACACACACACAGAGAGAGAGAGAGAGAGAGAGAGAGAGAGAGAGAGAGAGUUAGUUCCAGGACAGCCAGGACUAUACAGAGAAAUACACAGAGAAAUUCUGUCUUGAAAAACAAAAUUCAGUUAUUUUGUUUUUGUUUUAUGUAUAUGAAUGUUUUUACCUGCAUGUAUGUGCACCUCAUGUUUCUGGUGUCUGUGGAGGCCAGAAAGGGGAAUCUGGAUCCCCUGGAACUAGUUACAAAUGGUUGUGAGCCAUCUGCCAUGGGUACCGGAAACCCCAUGCUCCUCCCUUUGGCAUUUUGAGAGGGGACCUAGCCAUGUUGUCCAGGGUGCCUUGAAUUCUCCAAGAUUCAACUGCCUAAACCUCCUGAAUGCCAUUAUGUUACUGCUAUGUCUGGCAUGAACUAUUAGCCUGGCAUGAACUAUUAACUUUCUUUUUUAUGUUUAUUUAUUUUGCGUGUGUGUGUUCACAUGUGUGGGCAGGUUUGCCGUGGUGAAUGUAUGGAAGCCAAAGGACAGUCCACUCCAUUCUCUUUCUUCUUCCAACACGUAGGUCCUGGGGAUCAAACCCCAGUAGUCAGUCUUGGCUGUUGUGUGUUUAUGUGCUGAGCCAUCUUGCCAGCCCUCUUAAAAGAUUAGAAAAAAAUUCUUAGACUAUUUCAUUCAUGUAUAUAAUGUAUUUCGGUUAUUUUGUCUCCAUUACCUUCUCUGUUCUCUCAUAUCCUUUGUAAAACUUUUUCUUCCCAGCAUGUCUGCUCCCUAUUUUCAUAUAUAUAGAUGUGUGUAUGUGUGUGUAUGUAUGUAUGUAUGUAUGUAUGUAUGUAUGUAUGUAUGUAUGUAUACACACUCUUGUUUUUAAGGCUAGAGAAGAAGAUUCAAAGCUUCAUUCAGUAAAGUUUUUUUUUUUUCUGAAAUUAUGUAAUGGUAAGUGGUGAGUGAAAAGACUUCAUAAACCAUUUUUGAUAGUAGGUGUCUAUAAAUCAUUCAUGGUGCUUUCAGAGAGUUUGGAAAAUACUGGUGGAAAUAAGGCAGCAAAACAACCCAGCUUUAAUCCCUGUGGGUUAACAUUUUCAUAUAUUUUCUUUCAGCAUUUCCAGGCAGAUAAUGUAGUCUGAUGCUUAAAAUCUGGGCUGGGGCUGUAACUCAUUGGCAAAGGGCUUCCCAGCAUGCAGAACACCCUGAGUUCCUGGUACUCGGAAGUUCAAGGUCUCCUCAGCUGCACACCUGAGCCUCAGGCUAGCUAGGGAUUUGAGAAACCCUGCAUUUAAAAAAAGAAGUGAAAAGACAGAGAAGUUGGAGAGAGAGAGAGAGAGAGAGAGAGAGAGAGAGAGAGAGAGAAGGAGGGAGGCAGAGAGAGCAAACCCCUUUAAAAUCUGGAGGCCAACUAUAUGGUUGUUUUGUAUGAAUAUGUAUGUUUUGGCAGUGUCCUGGUAUCAGGCCUGGAGAGCAAAUACUGUAUGAAGUACAGCUGAACCUGGCUUCUUCAGCCACUGGAAAUAACAGUGACUUUUAGGGCCUGGGAGAUGGACCUGGAGUUCUGCACCGCUGUCUGAAGACCCGAAUUCAGCAAAUAAGUCAAGACAGACCUGAGUACUCAGAAUGUGGUUUGCUAUCUUGCCCAGUACAUUGUCUUUGAAUUUUUUUCAUGUACUGGGCACAGUUUAGUCAGGUAUCGUAAUUACUUUGUCCCUGAUUAUUAAAAUAUAACUUAUUUAUUGUUUCUAACUGCUGUAAAAGCUUUGGAUAGAAACAUACAUACAUAAAUCUUUGAACACAUCUCAGAUUUUUUAAAAAGAUAAAUUGCUGGAGAGAACUAAAGAGAGUGGACUUUUUUUUUUUUUUUUUUUUUUUUGAGACAGGGUCUUAUGUAGCCCAGCUGGCUUCAAACUCACUAUAUAGUUGAGACUGGCUUUGAACUUCUGAUCCUCCAGUCUCCACCUUCCAAGUGCUGGGGCUACAGGGACACAUCACCAUCCCAUUCUCUUUUGUUCCUGUUUAUAAUCACCUGUGAGCACCGUGAGCACGUGAGAGUACUCUGCUAACUCCAGCAGCCUCAGUGUGAUCCUAAAUCAAGAAGUGGGAGGGAGGGCCCUGGGUGCUUGGGAGGGAGGGCCUUGGGUG